UCCGGGGUAGCUCAAUGGCAGAGCAGCGCGCUGUUAACGCGACGGUUGUGGGUUCGAAUCCCACCCCCGGAG
rnacentral:tRNA from 1 species